rnacentral:rRNA from 1 species
GACGAACGCUGGCGGCGUGCUUAACACAUGCAAGUCGAACGAUGAAGCCUAGCUUGCUAGGUGGAUUAGUGGCGAACGGGUGAGUAAUACGUGAGUGACCUACCUUUGACUCUGGGAUAAGCCUGGGAAACUGGGUCUAAUACCGGAUACGACCAAUCUCCGCAUGGGGUGUUGGUGGAAAGCGUUAUGGAGUGGUUUUAGAUGGGCUCACGGCCUAUCAGCUUGUUGGUGAGGUAAUGGCUUACCAAGGCGACGACGGGUAGCCGGCCUGAGAGGGUGACCGGCCACACUGGGACUGAGACACGGCCCAGACUCCUACGGGAGGCAGCAGUGGGGAAUAUUGCACAAUGGGCGCAAGCCUGAUGCAGCGACGCCGCGUGAGGGAUGACGGCCUUCGGGUUGUAAACCUCUGUUAGCAUCGAAGGAGCGAAAGUGACGGUAGGUGCAGAGAAAGCGCCGGCUAACUACGUG